rnacentral:tRNA from 1 species
GGGCGGAUGCCAGAGUGGACAAAUGGAACAGACUGUAAAUCUGUCGGCGAAAGCCUUCGGGGGUUCGAAUCCCUCUCCGCCCA